AUUGAACGCUGGCGGCAUGCCUUACACAUGCAAGUCGAACGGCAGCACGGGGCAACCUGGUGGCGAGUGGCGAACGGGUGAGUAAUGCAUCGGAACGUACCUUUCAGUGGGGGAUAACGUAGCGAAAGUUACGCUAAUACCGCAUAUUCUGUGAGCAGGAAAGCAGGGGAUCGCAAGACCUUGCGCUGAUUGGGCGGCCGAUGUCAGAUUAGCUAGUUGGUGAGGUAAAGGCUCACCAAGGCGACGAUCUGUAGCGGGUCUGAGAGGAUGAUCCGCCACACUGGAACUGAGACACGGUCCAGACUCCUACGGGAGGCAGCAGUGGGGAAUUUUGGACAAUGGGGCAACCCUGAUCCAGCCAUGCCGCGUGAGUGAAGAAGGCCUUCGGGUUGUAAAGCUCUUUCGGCCGGGAAGAAAUCGCACGGGCUAAUACCCUGUGUGGAUGACGGUACCGGAAUAAGAAGCACCGGCUAACUACGUGCCAGCAGCCGCCGUAAUAC
rnacentral:rRNA from 1 species